UCAGUUGGGGCGUGGGCGUAGGGCACUCAGACCCCGGGCACCGCGAGGCCGGCUGGCACCGUUGGGUCACUUUAACUGACCCCAAAACUCACAAGGUGGUCGGGCGCUCCCAGGGGCCAACCCCAGAUCUCCCCGAUGGCGGUGGGCAAACACACCCCACCCAGGGGACCACUGCUGGGGCGAGAACAGAGAUGUCCAGGGCCUGGAAGGAGAAGGCCAGGACCCCGAGGGAAGAGAGGGCUCACCGCCCUGGUGCAGAUGAGCAGCCCCCCCGAUGUAUAAGGAGUUGAGGCCCCGGGGAUGCUGAGCUCUGCCGAAGUGCAAGGUCACCUUUCUGUUAAAGAGACAGACUCCCCCCGCCCCACCAGGGUCUCCACUCGGUCUCCUCUGCAUAGGCCUGAAGAGCAGCAGCGAUGCAAACCCCCGCAGAGGCUUUGAGAGAAGACCUCACUCUCACCGACACUGACGUCUCAGCUCUCCAUUAACCCUAUGUUCACCUCUGUGGUCAGCAGAUCAAGUCUGCCUUUCUGGAGGAUUCCCUCACCAGACCCAACUACAUCCAGGCUGACCAGCUGGCGAGCCGAUUCAAAUGCUAACUUCAGCUUAGCAGGGCGUUGCGCAAACAGCCCGGGACCUCUCCAGCCGGCUGCACCCAGCUCUGCCGCCGGAACAGCUGCGCCGAAAGGUUGGAGAAACCCGGACACAACGUGACCAAGCCCGCGGCACCAACCCCGGCAGCCCUAGAGGCACCCCGGAGACUCCCACACCUCCUCUGCCUGCCCUCCAAGUACCGGUAACCUUAGGGAACCGCCUGGGGCUCUGAGAGGUCGGUUCUAGGGUGCGCGCGGGCAGGUGCGCACGCUCUUUGCGGCAGUCUCGGCCCCGCCAGCGCCGGGA